CCACUGAUAAAAUUUUAAAGGGCCGCGGUAUUCUGACUGUGCAAAGGUCGCAUAAUCGUUAGUUUUUUAAUUGGAAUCUUGUAUGAAUGGUUUGACAAAAAAAAAUCUGUCUUUAUAAUUAUUUAUUGAAUUUAACUUUUAAGUGAAAAGGCUUAAAUAAAUUAAAAAGACGAUAAGACCCUAUAAAGCUUAAUAUUAAGUUUUUAUUUAAUUGAAUUUUAAAUUAUAUAAAAAUUUGGUAAAAAAUUUUUAUUUUAUUGGGGCGAUAAUGGUAAAAUGAUUAUUAACUGUUAAUUUUUUUAGACAAAAAUAAAUGAAUAGAAAWUAAUWGCAGUUAUAUAAGAAGGUCUGUUCGACCUUUAAAAUUUUACGUGAUUUGAGUUCAGACCGGCGUAAGCCAGGUCGGUUUCUAUCUUUUAAUAUUUAAUAAUUGUUUUAGUACGAAAGGAUUAAACAAUUAAAAUUAUUUUUAAAAUAAGUGGAUAAAA
rnacentral:rRNA from 1 species